rnacentral:piRNA from 1 species
UGGAUUUGCUCUGUAAAUUAGCCUGGCC